UGGGGAAUUGUUCACAAUGGGCGCAAGCCUGAUGACGCAACGCCGCGCGGGGGAUGAAGGUCUUCGGAUCGUAAACCCCUGUCGAAUGGGACGAAAGACUCGCGAGUGAAUACUUCGCGAGAGUGACGGUACCGUUAAAGGAAGCCACGGCUAACUCUGUGCCAGCAGCCGCGGUAAUACAGAGGUGGCAAGCGUUGUUCGGAAUUACUGGGCGUAAAGGGCGCGUAGGCGGCCCUCUAAGUCAGACGUGAAAUCCCCCGGCUUAACCUGGGAACUGCGUCUGAUACUGGAGGGCUUGAGUAUGGGAGAGGGAUGUAGAAUUCCAGGUGUAGCGGUGAAAUGCGUAGAUAUCUGGAGGAAUACCGGUGGCGAAGGCGGCAUCCUGGACCAUUACUGACGCUGAGGCGCGAAAGCUAGGGGAGCAAACGGGAUUAGAUACCCUGGUAGUCCCUGAGCGGGCUGGCAAGGCGCAU
rnacentral:rRNA from 1 species